rnacentral:rRNA from 1 species
ACGGAAGGCAGCAGUGGGGAAUAUUGCACAAUGGGGGAAACCCUGAUGCAGCGACGCCGCGUGAAGGAUGACGUAUUUCGGUAUGUAAACUUCUAUCAGCAAGGAAGAUGAUGACGGUAUUUGACUAAGAAGCCCCGGCUAACUACGUGCCAGCAGCCGCGGUAAUACGUAGGGGGCAAGCGUUAUCCGGAUUUACUGGGUGUAAAGGGAGCGUAGACGGCUAUGCAAGUCUGAUGUGAAAGGCAGGGGCUCAACUCCUGGACUGCAUUGGAAACUGCAGGGCUUGAGUGCCGGAGAGGUAAGCGGAAUUCCUAGUGUAGCGGUGAAAUGCGUAGAUAUUAGGAGGAACACCAGUGGCGAAGGCGGCUUACUGGACGGUAACUGACGUUGAGGCUCGAAAGCGUGGGGAGCAAACAGGAUUAGAUACCCUGGUA